UGGGAUAUGGCUCCCUCGCCGCAGUCCAGCAUGAUGACUGUUCCAUCGAUUGCGACUGAGUAAGAACUUAAGCUUCUACGCCAAGUAGGACAGGUGGCACUAGUUCCUAAGACAUCCAGCGUGUAUCCUUCAUUUUCAAAGGGUAAAGGAUUAAACGAGCUAAAUUUUUUAGCCAGCUUCACCGGACUAUACGAAGGACUCUCUGAAAUCUUGCACUGCUCAUCAUAAAGAACCAUCGAUGUUUCUUCCUUCAGGACAUAAGUAUUUUCAGGCAAUUGUGUCUGUGUAUCCAAAGUGGAAGGCUUUAUAUCGAAGGCAGCAAAAUCACGGCAGGCUGGCAAAACAUUUCUUCCCUUAUUUCUUUGGAAAACAGGGUUAUUACUGGCAAGUUCGAUACACGAGAUGAAAUGUUGAGCACGAGAAAACUUUGGGUGAGAUAAAAAUUUGAUAUAUUCUGGCCCCCAAAUACCCUUUUCUAAUAUAUGAAUUAUACAAGUGGGAUAUACGUCUGAGAAUGAGUCUACAUGUUUUGACAUUUGGUUGAGGGCAGAAAGACUCGAACAACCGAGAACAUAAAAGUAUUGACGCUUCCUAGGAGGACCCACUACUUGAUGAGGAUAAAUCCAUGUAGUACCAUCUUUGCUCAACACCGCUUCACCGGCGCAUAACUUGCCGUUUGAUGGGCCAAAAGGAACUCCUAGAGCUAAAGCCUUGUCCGCAUUAAACACUCCAGCUGCCUCUUUGCUGUUGAAAGAAAGAAAAGACCAAUUGGAGUAUAUAUUCCCUUUAAUCGUACAAAAUUCCGGCUCAUCUAAGUAAAAAGAAUUCGUAGCAUCGGCAUUAUCCUCACUUGAGAAUGAAUUAAGAUCGAGUCGUAAUGGACUUCCUGAAAAAAGAUGAUGAGAUUUUUUAAUAAUUGAAAUUACAGGUUUGGGAGCAUGCAAACCCCAAGUGUUUUGUAUACCACUGGAUUGUAAGUAGCCAAAAAGGCCAGCAGUUAUACCCCAAGCGUUCAGGGAUUGUAAACUAGGUGGCAUUAAAAAUACACUGACAGAUUUCCCUCCAUAGUUAGACGCUUGACUUCG